rnacentral:rRNA from 1 species
GACGAACCGUGCGAACGUUAUUCGGAAUCACUGGGCUUAAAGCGCGUGUAGGCGGGUCGGCGCGUCGGCCGCUGAAAUCCCCCGGCUCAACCGGGGAAGGGGCGCCGAAACGGCCGGCCUGGAGGGACGUAGGGGGGGGCUGGAACUUCCGGUGGAGCGGUGAAAUGCGUUGAGAUCGGAAGGAACGCCCGUGGCGAAAGCGAGCCCCUGGACGUCUACUGACGCUGAGACGCGAAAGCCAGGGGAGCAAACGGG